AUUUCUCUGCCGUCAUUCUCCCCGCAGCGGCCCGUCCGUGAGGCUACGGCCCCGCCCCGGGAGGUGUGCGGGGUGGCGGAGGGGCUGGCGGGACCAUGGCGGAGGAAGGUGAGCGCUGCGACCCCGACCGCGACACGGCUCCCGUGGCGGAGGCUGGAGAUGGGACUGAGCCGGACAGCCAGGCCGGGGAAGACCUCGCGGAUAGCCCCGACGUGUACAGAUACAUUAAGGGAGACUUGUUCACCUCCGAGAUCUAUAAAGUAGAGAUACAGAACCUGCCCAAAUACAUUGGGUUUAACGAUGUGAAAAAGUUCCUUGCCAAGUACGGGCUCAAUCCUCACAAGAUAAAACUUUUCGGAAAGCAGACGUUCGCUUUCGUGACGUUCAAGAGCGAGGAGGAGCGGGACAAGGCCAUGCGGGUGCUGCACGGCGCGCUCUGGAAGAGCCGCCACCUCAGCGUGCGCCUGGCCAAGCCCAAAGCCGACCCCAUCGCCAAGAAGAGGAAGCAAGAGGAGGAUUCGGAGCAGGGAGAGGCGAAGCGUCCGGCUCCCUGCGGAGAGGAGCCUCUGAGUAAGCGGAUCGCGGAUGUGGUGACCCCGCUGUGGAACGUGCCCUACGAGGAGCAGCUGGCCCAGAAGAAGCAGGAGUGCGAACAAGUGCUGCAGAAGUUAACAAAGGAAAUAGGAAAUAACAACAGAACUUUAUUACCGUGGUUGUUCCUGCAGAAACAGAAGUUUAAUAAAUUAUGUUGCCCAGUGGAGGGAGUGAAAGCAUCACCCUUACAGACUGAAUAUCGCAACAAAUGUGAGUUCUUGAUUGGGAUUGGUGUAAAUCAAGAAGACAAAACUGUGGGUUGUCGUCUUGGCAAAUAUAAGGGUGGUACAUGUGCUGUAGUGGAGCCAUUUGAUACUAUUCACAUUCCUGCUAUUGCCAAAAAAGUAGUAAAAGCUUUCCAAGACUACAUAAGGUCAACUCCUUACUCUGUGUACAGCCCCGAAACCUACGAAGGGCACUGGAAACAGCUCACGGUGCGCACCAGCCGCAACGGCCACAUCAUGGCAAUUGCUUAUUUCAAUCCUCAGAAAUUGAAUAAAGAAGAACUAGCUGACCUGAAAAUCUCUCUGGCAAAAUACUUCACAGAAGGGAUGGGAAAGAGUAGUGGUGUUACUUCCCUGUACUUUGUGGAGGAAGGACAAAGGAAAUCUCCCAAUCUAGAGGACUUGCCUUUGGAGCAUGUGGCUGGUGAUAAGUACAUAUAUGAAGAACUCCUCGGCUUAAAAUUUAGAAUUUCUCCUCAUGCAUUUUUUCAAGUGAACACACAAGCUGCAGAAGUGUUGUACACUGUCAUUGGGGAGUGGGCACAACUGAGCCAAGAGAGCACCGUGCUGGACAUCUGUUGUGGGACAGGAACCAUUGGGAUUUCUUUAGCAAAGCGAGUGAAGAAGGUAAUUGGAAUUGAGCUCUGCCAAGAAGCUGUUCAGGAUGCCAAAGCAAACGCCCAGAUUAAUGAGUUGAAUAAUAUUGAAUUUUAUUGUGGGAAGGCAGAAGAUAUUGUUCCUUCCCUAAUGAACAUUUUAGCUCCUCAGAACCUGAUCACAAUUGUAGAUCCACCACGAGCAGGGCUGCAUUCCAAGGUAAUUCUUGCCCUUCGAAGAGCUGAACACCUGAAGAAGCUCAUCUAUGUCUCCUGCAAUCCCAGAGCUGCAAUGGGUAACUUUGUGGACCUGUGCCGAGCCCCUUCCAACAGGGUGAAAGGAGCCUCUUUCCGGCCCGUGAGAGCCAUGGCUGUGGAUCUGUUCCCUCAGACCAGGCACUGUGAGUUACUGAUCUUCUUCGAGAGGGUGGAACAUGCUGACGGUUCUGCAGCUGCAGCACCUGCUGCCAGUGAGAUCACAGCAGCACCCCGUGGCACUGAGGGUGAGGAUGGCACCAGCCCAGCUGCCAGGGAGGGGAGCCAGGCAGCUGCUGGCCAUGGGGACUGCAGUCCAAGAGAGGGAUCACCUUAACUCCUGAGAGACUUGGCAGAAACUACUUUUCCUUUUUAACUGCGUCAGUAGCAUCUCUUCUGUAACGUGCAGAUUCCCAGAAGGGUUUGUGCUGGAAGGAACCUUAAUGAUCAUCUCAUAACCAGCCCUCUGCCAUGAACAGGGACACCUUCUACUCGACCAUGUUGCUCAGAGCCCCAUCCAGCCUAGUCUUGAACACUGUCAGGGACAGGAUGUUAUGUACUAUCAGGCCAAACCCUGCUUUUCUUUUCCUGCCUAGAUACAUACACAUACACCCAAUUCCCAGAGCAAAUCAUCUUACUGCAGGGACCUGGACCUACCUGUCAGUACUUCAUCAUGCUCUUCCCCCAUCAAAACUGCACCAUGAUUUUUCAGUAAACAAGUAAAGAUUAACCCUCCCAUAAAUCAUUUACCUGCUAAAUCUUCAUUAGGAAGUAACAAACUCAGUCUAAUAAAAAUGCUGCACAUUCCACAGUUGAAGCCAGUCUUAGACUGUAUCACUGUAUCAGUAUCACUGACAAGACAACAAAGGCUCUAAGUUUCUUAUACCAUACUACUGAAGCUGAGGUGCCUUUGCUUGAGGCAUGUCCUCACCAGUGAAAACUGACAGCCACAACUGAACUGUACCCACACCAGCACCUUAUGCUGCACUGCCAGUGUGUCUCCUGGGGGUGAAGACAAGCCAGGCUUGAGAGCUCCACAGGUGCUCUCCAGUCAGGACUCACUGCAGCCAGAGGCUCAGCAGCUGCCAUUAAUGGACUGUGAUCCACGCUACAGAACACACAGCAACACUGUUAGAAGGAGUGAUCAUCUUAAAUCUCAACCUGCUUCAAAUAUACAUUUAAUAUGGCCUAACAGCAAUAAAAAGAUUCUACAGCCCAUGGCUGUGCUGAUAGCACACCUUUCCAGUGUUUGGUACCUCCAUCCAACAGGUACCAAAACCAGCACUGGCUUGUACCACUUUUAACCUUGCCAGGGUUUUAAGUAAAAAUAAAAAUCCUAAUUCAAAGAAAGGUAACUUAAUUUCACUCCAAGUGUUUAACCAUGUAAACAUUCAAUUCCUCACCUAAAAGUGAUGCAGUAUUUCCAUAAGGAAGGAGGCUGCACUGAUCCAAUUUCUCUUCAGAAAUACCUAGAGGACUUGAAGAAUAAGAGUUCCUUUCUCUAGAUAUGCUUAAGGUAUCAUAAUACUGAUCACACUGGCACUUUUUAUAAUAUCAAACUUUAUUGCUCGAAACUAAUUGUCUGAAAAAUACACAUGAAGUACUCAAAGACUGAACACAGAGGAUUACAUGAUUGUGCAGAAAAAAAGCAAGCAGAGGCUCAGUGAAAAUGAGGCUUUAUAGUUGUACCAAUUUAGCACUGGCACCAAGCAACUGCACCCAACACAACUCAAACAGCAACCAUUGUUACCUGCUGGGGCAAUAAGGAUGAACUUUGUUUUGUUUUACCAUGUUCUCAGAUACACAUUGAAAUACUGUCAUUGAUAAUUUUAUUUGGUUAAUAACAGCAUGGCUUCUUGCAUUUCACAUUUCUUCCCACAGAAAGUUAGGAGGCUAUCACUUCCUGAAUCUCACUCCAGAACCAAAGUACAGUUUAGUGAAUUAAUAAGAUAGGUACGAUGCUUUUAAAUACUUGGAUGUUACAAGUAUAUUUGUAUAAAGCCUAACAGCAUCACAGGAGAAUGGAAGUUUACAUACAACAGUUAAUUUUAUGCAUAAUAGUCUUUCCAAAGUUCUGAGUACCCAACUAAUUCAUCAGUUUUGUCUAAUAAAUAUGUUAAAAAAAGCUGAUGACUGGUGUUUCAGUAGGUAGCAUCUGACUAGUCACUGGAAGUCACAGUAAGUUUUCCAUCAGUACCAUGAAGAUUUGAAUGCACACGAAUUUAAUCCUUAAUAUACCACACUUUUGUCGAGAAGCACAUAAUAUGCAAAGCAAAAACUGUCUAAUCCCCAAAGGAUGGAACAGUUCUUAAAAAUACACUCCAUCCCUAUAAAAAUACCCAUCUUCCCCUGGAUAUAGAAGGGAUAAAUAACAAGUAUCAGUGACAAAAGCAGCAGUUUUAUGCAUUCAUACAAUCAGAUCUAAACCUUUACAGCCGAUUACCUAGAAAACACACAAGAGUUACAAGACAAGUUUAGGAUACAUCUUGAAUCACACUGUAAGUGUUCAUGCAGAAGCUGAAGUUAAUGCAAUGAUCUAUCCUCUAUCACAGCAGCUCGUGCUUAUGUGCAAAUGCAAGACUGUUACACUCCAAACAAUAGUAAACAUUAAAACACAAGAAUACUUCACAAUGACAUAAACAGCAGUUACGUUGUUUGUUCCAGCAGUUAUUGCGCUAUUUUCUGGACAUCUCUCCAGUUAAAGGCUGCAGCAAGGUCUAAUACCAUCUUUUUAUGUUUGUUUUGUUUAGAAUGCAUAAUAAACGUUCUAGGCUUUGGUUCACAAUGAAAUCUCUGGAUGUUUUAAUUAAGGGCAAUGGUCACCUUGUGAUUCUGAUAGUGGCAGACUGAGGUAAUACAGCAAUCCUCUUAAAAUUAAUGAAAACAAAUUGGUAAGUGAGGCAUCUAUGGAUAUUCUGCAGGUGACCUGCAAAUGCAUUGACAUUCUGAUUUCAGAAAAAUAAGAAAGAUCUACAAGGGUGAUUUGUCUUUUACAGUGCCAUCCACUACAGAUUUUUCUGCUGAAAACACAAGCUGAAAUAAAACCUAUCUAAGGGUAAUACAUUUAGGCAUAGAAGAUAAAAGCCCUGUCUUUAUGAAAACAGAAAAAUCCCAAUAAAAACAACAAAGAGAGACAAACAGCAAUCGCUGCUUGUCACUACUGCACCAGUAUUAUAUACCCUUCAAAAGAUGGAGAUUUAUUAAAGCUAUACAAAAAAAAGCAGAGGCAGUGUUUUUUUUGUAGGUUUUUUUUUUUUUUUUGACAGGCCACUUCUUUAAAUAAUAGUUUCUAUAUUGUCUUCCAACUACCCGUAUCCUGUUGUAACAGGAUUACAACUCAUGGAACUAAAAAGCUAAAUAUAAUAAUAAAAAAUGGGUGGAUUCAUAUUUGCAGAGACCUCCAAGCAUAUAAUUUAAACAAAGAAACAGGUAAGACUCCAUGACUCCUCCUGUUUAACCUCAAACAUUGUACGCAACACAUUAGAGAACAUUAGUUUGAAAUAUAAACUAAAAUCCACAUACUUCUGAAGUAAUGUGUGAUGUUAAAAGGAGGUCUUACAAUACUGAUGCCAACAUUUUUAAAAUCCAGUAGGCACUAAAUUCAAUAUACUGCAGCACUCCCUAUGUAAUAUGGUAAAUUAAAAAAACAAAACCACACCAAAAUCAGAAUAAAACCAAGCAAAUAAACAAUAACAAAAAAAACAGCCCAAGAAACAAAACAAACCCUCAAGCCCCCAGAUCCCUGUCAACGUAAGUACCAGGAGUUGCAGCAG